GUUAAGGUGCGUAGGCGGCCUGUUAAGUCAGGGGUGAAAGACGGUAGCUCAACUAUCGCAGUGCCCUUGAUACUGAUGGGCUUGAAUUGACUAGAGGUAGGCGGAAUGUGACAAGUAGCGGUGAAAUGCAUAGAUAUGUCACAGAACACCGAUUGCGAAGGCAGCUUACUAUGGUCUUAUUGACGCUGAGGCACGAAAGCGUGGGGAUCAAACAGGAUUAGAUACCCUGU
rnacentral:rRNA from 1 species